rnacentral:lncRNA from 1 species
UUCUUCUUUGUUGGUGGAGCUCUGGUGAAGUCACGGCGGAGGAUAAAGAGCCCGAAUUUCAAUUGCGGCAACCUGCUCACGGCGCAAAUUGGUGAAGUUGUUUUUGUUACAGAUACGUGCACAACAAUAAAGAAGAAGAAACCUUAGCUGAGGAAAACAUAAGAUAAGUUUGAUUUGGUUAUUUUCAAUACCACAACUUUAGUCUAAAAUUAAUAACCAUGUGUAAUUAGUAAUGUAUACUCUCUGCAGGCUGAACACAGCCGCCUGUGGGACAAUGUUUGCGAUUUGCACAAAACAUACAAAUGGCUAAAAAAAAGGCUUCAGACAGAACCAACAACAGUCGAAUGCAUUUUACUGAAUUUUUUCGUGAAGAAUACAUAAUGAAAUAAUUUACGACUCCCGUCAUGUAACAGGGCACGGAGCACAUAGAAAGAUAAGGAAAAUUCAAAAAUUUUCUGUAAAUUAUAAGGCAAACUAAAGUUCUGAAUAUGAAAGCAUGUACCUCAAAGGCAAGUGUUAUUAGAGAUAUGGACUUUGUAAUCAUUUCGAAGCUGAUCUCAAGAAUAUAGGUUAUUUAGAAAUGCAGUAAGUAAAUCUGUAAGGCACAGUAAACAAGUAGUAGGUCAACGACAGGUUGCAUAUAAUAUAUACUGUUGAACAGUCGAGCAUAAAAUCUAAUCCCGUUGAAGUAAAAUCAUUUUGUACUUGGAAAAAAAACAUGGAAUCAUAAAUCUAUAAAAUAAGUUCUACAUUGCGAGGCACAGUGCGUAGAUAUAAUUCAAUCAACUUUUGUGCCACAGAAUCCUUCCAUUCCAGUCAAGCUCUGGUCAAUUGACAGCAACUGAAGUUCAUUUGUUCGUUAAAUUAGAACAAAAACAAUACAUAAUAUAGCUUGCAAUCUUCACCUUCUCAGUGUACAUCGGCAAGCCAUGAAGAAUACAGUAGAAUACAUGUAGCGGUUAUUUCAACGUCCACACAUUUACCAGCACAAUCUAAAGGCUUCAGACAGAAGGGAAAAAAAACGUAUUUGUAAAAAAAGAAAUACGAGUAAGAAACAAUUUGUGUUUAUUUUUGUGCAAAACUGAAACACCUAUUUUUACUUCACCUACAAAGAAGAAGGACCACUGUAGUUGUACAACGGAAGAACAUGUGCAAUACAAACCUUUUUCCUAAUCGUUUUUAAGGGUCGUCAAAAUCCAACUUAUUUAUCUUUCUGAAGGAGAAAUGGAUUUAAAAAAAAAAUUGGAAAUAUAAAAAAAAAAGGGUAAAUUACAACUGCCCCAGAAGUAAGGUCUAUUUAUAAAAAAAACCCUCAUUUUCCAAUAAUUACAUCCAU